rnacentral:misc_RNA from 1 species
GAUGAAGAACGCAGCGAAAUGCGAUAAGUAAUGUGAAUUGCAGAAUUCAGUGAAUCAUCGAAUCUUUGAACGCACAUUGCGCCCGCCAGUAUUCUGGCGGGCAUGCCUGUCCGAGCGUCAUUUCAACCCUCGAACCCCUCCGGGGGGUCGGCGUUGGGGAUCGGCCCCUCACCGGGCCGCCCCCGAAAUCCAGUGGCGGUCUCGCCGCAGCCUCUCCUGCGCAGUAGUUUGCACACUCGCACCGGGAGCGCGGCGCGGCCACAGCCGUAAAACACCCCAAACUCUGAAAUGUUGACCUCGGAGCAGGUAGGAAUACCCGCUGAACUUAAGCAUAUCAAUAAGCGGAGGA